UCGAAGUAAAUGAUUUUCUGAAGGUCGGUCUCCCAGAAAGCAUUUGCUCUGGUUUUUUGUUUUGUUUUAUUUUCGUGUUUUCCCAGUUAGGGAAGGGAGAGGAGCCUGUGCAGAGUUGAACUGGGGUGGAGAGGUGCGUUGUAAAGUAUGGUUUCCAGAGACGGUGAGACCUCGUCGCUAAGCGUUGUUUCCUCUGCAUGUAACUUUUCAGCGUGGCCGCAUUUUGAAAAGGCUGAACGUAGAAAACUCUGGAAUGGAGAGGUUGGCUACUGGAGCAGGAUCCAGGGGCUUUAAAUUUUAACCUGAGUGCGAUUGAAUGCGCGACUCCCAGAAGAGAUAGCCAGGCGUCCGCCCGGCCACUCAACCCCCGCCAGGACUCGGAAUGCGUUGCUUUUGGUUCUUUUCUACAAGGAUGUCUGCGUGGAUAUCCCUGGACACUCGAUACCCCCCGGGGACCUGCUCUUCCCGCAGCUCCGCAGACGCGGCAGGAGGGCGCGCUGGCCCCGGCGCUGCUGGGACAGAGUUUAAAUCUCGGAAAACCAAAAACACCCUUUAGAAACGUCAGGUGGUGGCGGCGGAAACUCAAAGGUCGCCCCCCACCCCCAGCGCGGGCUCCCCGCCGCCGGCCACUUCGGGGGAAGGACCGCGCAGAGGCAGCGUCGGGGUCCCCGGGCGGUCGGAAUCGAGGCCCCGCGCGUUGCGCAGGCCAGGCCCGGCUCGGAGGCCCCUCGCCCGGCGCAGCCCCCGG
rnacentral:lncRNA from 1 species